GUGAAUUGCAGAUUCAGUGAAUCAUCGAAUCUUUGAACGCAUCUUGCGCUUCUUGGUAUUCCGAGAAGCAUGCCUGUUUGAGUGUCAUUAAAUUCUCAACUACACCAGUUAAAAUGGGUGUAGCUUGGAUUUGGGGGUUUUUGCAGGCUCUUUYUUUGCUUAGCCUUGCUUCCCUGAAAAGCAUUAGUGGUAUCUGAGCAUCCACAGAUGUUGAUAAAUCAUUUCUACAUCUUGGUGGGCUGCACAUGCUGCUUCCAACUUGGCCAUUGGUUGAAUGAACAAUUUGACCUCAAAUCAGGUAGGACUACCCGCUGAA
rnacentral:rRNA from 1 species